rnacentral:lncRNA from 1 species
GAUGGUUCUGUGGUCCAAAUUUCUAAAUACAAGUAGCAAUCUGUACCUUCAAAAAGAACACUUAUUUAAGUAAACAAAAAUAUGUCUGUAAGGCAAUUUGCUCUUUAUUUCUGAUGUCACAUGUAUAGCAAACAAUGUCAAAGAACUUCACAGGGGGGUUACUUGUCCAUUUAGUUUGAGUUUCCUCUAAAUGAAGGUAUCUUAGUCUUAAGCAUCUAAAGAAUGAGGAUUAGUGGCACUGAGCAUAUUGAUGCAAUGCAAACUAGUAUAGUAAAGUCUAAGCUUAACUAAAUAUCAUAUAAAGGAAGUUUCAAUAGCAGGUGUCUAUUUUUAAGUAGGGCUGUUAAAGAAUUCUUUCACAACCAUAAGAAAUAUGUAAAAGCUUUAUUUGUAGAAGCUAGAUCUGUCCUAUCACAGACAGAGACUAUUGUUUUUGUAUGCUUUACUCUCAUGACAAUAUUUAUACAGAAAACAAUUAUAGUAUCAAACUACACAUCUGACCUCCAUCCAAAUUGUGUCUGCCAUGACAGACAAAGACAAAUGGAAACCUAUAUUCAACACUCCUAGUAGAGGGCAAGGCCUUAAGUGACUUAUUCCUUGAAAUUAAUAGGAUAACUUGUGUGCUUUUUAACAAACAGCAGCUUUGAGAGUGAUACUGUGGAUGGAAGAUUGGUGGAGAUGGAUGUUAACAUCAUCAGAGAUCCCUGCUUGCAGGUCCGAUAGGCGAGCCACGUCUCUUGUAGCUUGGAUAACCACCAGAGGUCAGCAAACCACAUUCCAGGGACUACCGAAAUGCCCACCUUCAAGGAGCUGCUCUGCAGAAAAUCACAUAUGCAAGCAUUUUGUUGUGACAAGCUGAGAAUGGGCCUAUCUGUGCAGGUCUGUGUGUCUGUGUGAUUUUGUGUCUUUGCUGCGGUAUAAGGCCUGGAGGGGACUGAGAGACAUUUUCUGACAGAACAGUGAUGCCAGUGCUGGGCCUUCUUAGACCCAGCGAACAGCCAAUUGAGGGUGCAAAUGAGGGAGCUGAAACUCAGGUGCAGCACAUCCCAUGCCCCGCAGGCCAGACCCCUGCUCUGCAGGAGGGUGAGUGAGCAAUUCAG